rnacentral:rRNA from 2 species
GGCGUUGAUAGGCCGGGUGUGUAAGCGCAGCGAUGCGUUGAGCUAACCGGUACUAAUGAACCGUGAGGCUUAACCUUACAACGCCGAAG